AAUGCCUCAGCUUGCUCCUCUGUAGCAUUACAUGUCUUGUGAGCAAGCACUUGGGGACAUUUUUAACAUCCACUGGCACCUGGUAUUUGCCAAGCUUUUUACAUCCACCAACUAUAAUCCUUGAAACAGGCUGUCAAGGAGUUUAACUGUGUACACACCUGACACCUGGAACUGAUGUCCUGGACCAUAGAGGAGAAGACUUACUUGGCAACAUUAGGUACUGCCAGGAAGACACUGAAGAAUACCCAAGUCAACAAGGUGUUUAAUACCAGCUACUUGGGAGACUGAGCCAAGAGAUAAGAUCUGGCAAUGUGUGACUUGUGGCUCUUCUCCAAAGUCAAAAUUAUUAUUAAAGGUAAAUGUUUUUGAUCCCUUCCAUCAUGGAGACAGCCAUGACACCACAGCUAAAGACACUCAUGAAAGAGGACUUCCAGAACUGCUUAAGAAAACGUCAAGAGCAAAGUCAGGAAGCAACUAAAUAUGAAGGAAGACAAAACAUCCAACUGCCUACUUCACAAAUGGUUACUGGAGUCUUGUAAGUUCCAUGGCAAUGAGAAGAAAACAAGCAAUACUGGGGUUUUCUCUCCUUAGAAUUGAAAAUAGGAUUGUUCCAGUUCUGAAUUUUCAACAGCAAGAUAACAAGAAGUUUUUCCAGAGCUCUCCUGAAUUCUUCAACUAAAAGGAAGAGGAAAAUAAAGCAACAGCAACAAAGAGCUCAAAAAAUAAGAAACAAUAGAUUACUUGGGGAAAGUCACUAUUUUAAACAUUGAGACCAAAGGGAAAUUCCCCUAUGAAUUCAUGAGGAAAAGACAUUGAGUAAUUGAGAGCAUUAAUUAAUCUUGUGUGUGUGUGUGUGUGUGUGUGUGUGUGUGUUUGUGGUACUGAGGGUUGAACCUAGGGCCUUGGAACUGGUCUACAUCAUCAACCCUUUAUUUUUUAUUUUGAAACAGGGUUUCACUAAGUUGCCCAGACCAAGCUCAAACUUGUGACCUCCCUACCUCUACUUCCCAGAGUGCUGGAUAUUAAUUUCUUAACCACAUCCUUGCAGUCAUACAAUAAGAAACUUAGUAGAAAUGUUACUUAUAACAUUCUUCAGUGCAAGUUGACGGCACAAUGUCCAAGCACAGUUUGUCAAAAGCAAUUUAAUGGAGAAACAAAAGAAUGUGACCCCUAGAUAAUUUUUUUUCAUGACUGUGACUUAACCAAAAUAAAUUUUAGAGUAACCAAAGCAAUUGUGCUUACUAUCUUCUAAGCACAAACUGUUAUAAAAAUAAGAUCAAAAUUGUAUGUUCUCAGAAAUGAAUCUACAAGUAUGUAAAAACUCAAUUUUUAUCCACAAUUACAGAGCAAGUCUCAGACUCCCAAAAGUUUCUUGCAGGGGUAAAUAUGGUACACUACCCAUACCUUGAUAAAUCCUAUAUAAAUAUUGUAUCUUAAAACUAUUAAGUUUGAAUAUCAGAGCAUUAAGUUUAAAUAUUGAGCUGAAUGGUACUUUUGACAAAGGCUGGGGCUGUAGCUCUGUGGUAUAGCAUAAGCUUAGUAUCCUCUAGGCUUUGAGUUCCAUCUUUCCCCCCUCCAAUAAGUAAAUAACAGAAAGGUACCAUGCUAGUAAGAGAGCCUGAAGUUAUUCUGUGUUGACUUGUAAAAGAAGAAAUAGGUACUGUAUUAACUAUAGAAAUUGUGGAAAAUAUCAAUAUAUUUUAAAAAAUUGGAAUCCCCAG
rnacentral:lncRNA from 1 species